rnacentral:rRNA from 1 species
UACGUAGGGUCCAAGCGUUGUCCGGAUUUAUUGGGCGUAAAGAGCUCGUAGGCGGCUCAGUAAGUCGGAUGUGAAAACUCGGGGCUCAACCCCGAGACGCCAUCCGAUACUGCUGUGGCUUGAGUCUGGUAGGGGAACACGGAAUUCCCGGUGUAGCGGUGAAAUGCUUAGAUAUGACAUAGAACACCAAUUGCGAAGGCAGCUUACUACACAGUGAUUGACACUGAGGCACGAAAGCGUGGGGAUCAAACAGG